rnacentral:rRNA from 1 species
AGAGCGAACGCUGGCGGCAGGCCUAACACAUGCAAGUCGAGCGCCCCGCAAGGGGAGCGGCAGACGGGAGAGUAACACGUGGGAACGUGCCCUUUGGUUCGGAACAACACAGGGAAACUUGUGCUAAUACCGGAUAAGUCCGUAAGGAGAAAGAUUUAUCGCCAAAGGAUCGGCCCGCGUCUGAUUAGCUAGUUGGUGAGGUAACGGCUCACCAAGGCGACGAUCAGUAGCUGGUCUGAGAGGAUGAUCAGCCUCACUGGGACUGAGACACGGCCCAGACUCCUACGGGAGGCAGCAGUGGGGAAUAUUGGACAAUGGGCGCAAGCCUGAUCCAGCCAUGCCGCGUGGAUGAUGAAGGCCCUAGGGUUGUAAAGUCCUUUCGACGGGAAGAUAAUGACGGUACCGUAGAGAAGCCCGGCUAACUUCGCGCCAGCAGCCGC